UUUGGCACAGAAACAGGAAUUGCGUCAACCUCAACAGUUACAGACUUACGAAAUAGCGACUGUGGUCAAAACUUUUCGUUCUUGUCUGUUGCACAAGAAAUUCACGACUUUAAUUUGAGUGCUAUCUUAGAGGGAGAUGUUAUUGGGCGAGUCAUUUUAACAAAACACAACAAGAAUCUAAAAGUAACUAACAGAGAUCGAAACAGGUUAUGUGAAAUAGUAAUUUCUUAUUUUUUGAACAAAUCUGUUAAACUGAAUAACGAUUUUUUGUCGCUCAUGGCGGAUGAAAUUACAAAGCUCAUCCCUACUGAAAAAAAACUACUUAUUUCGUAAGCCCCAUCAAAAAAAUUAAUUCCAGAUUUAAUAAACCUGAAGUAGCAAGAAGAAAACUUGUGGACAAACACAGGAAUAAACUAACAGCUUUAAGAAGAACAAUAGAAUUCCCACCUGUGCCAAGUAAUUAUAAUACUGAACCUACUUCUAAUGAACCGUCACAGAGUCCUAAAGACAGUCAAAUUUGGCCUUUGCAUAAUCGUGAAACUGUAGAAGAUGUGUUACAAUGUAAUGGAAUGAGUAAGUUUGAAUUCGUUAGUCAGCAAAUGCUUGUCCAUUGCAAGGAACUAGGUCAUCAAUAGUGUAUAAAAGUGUAUGUGAUAGGUAAAACAAGGAAGUGUUAAGUCUGGGUUUGUAGUGGUAAUAUGGGUAAAUAAAUGAAUAAUAAAUAUGUCGUGGCUAUUAGAGAGGACAUCACAACAACAUCGGAUAAAUGCUUAUGGAAUACGAAAAUUUUGUAACAACAAGAACGCGACAAUAGAAUCUUUUCUUAAUGAAUGGCCGAUUUUGAAUGAGCAGAUAGCUAUAGAAUUGGUCUCAUACGACUUCAAACAGAUGUUCCAACUUGAAUUAACCGCAAUUGAUUUAGAAAAUGCUUUUGAAACAUUAUUUGAAUCUGUAAUUCAUAAAAGAAGGAGUAGUUUAAAUCCAACUGAUGAAACGUUUCUACAAUUACUUGCUGGGAAUAUUACCACAGAUUCAAAGAAUGCCGUUAAUCUCUAAGUACUUGCUGUUUUCUUUAGUACCAGUUAAAGGAAGAACCAGAAUUGGUCAAUAACAUUGGAAACCUUCUAGAACAGAAAACCGUGAUGGAUUCUUUUUACACGUAAAGGUGCCUGGAGAUAUUGAAAAAGCAAAACAGGAGAAAAUUGACUGUAAUUACUGCAGAGGUACAACUGUUCAACCGUAUAUCAUUUUAGUAGGAACUAGUUUGAAUAAUAUUUCAGCGGCAUAUGUUGUUGUCAACAAUAACACCUAUAAAAAUAUUUCGGUGUUAGAUGCAAUUGAUUUUUGUUUUAAAGUUAAUGCAUUCACUUUUACCAAGAUUUGACUGUAAACAAAGCAAUUGUUUUAGAAGCUGUUCAACUAUAAGUGAUCUUCGAAAACACUUUAAUAAGAAUCACAAUGAGUUAGUUGUUGCCCAAACAAAUUUACGCGUACCAUCUAUUUCUGAAAGGAGUAGGAAUAUCUCUUGCAGCAAAGAUGAAAAUAUUUUUUCCACUGCCCACGAAAGUAAAGACGAAAUGACAUCGGUUCAUUCGAAAGCAAUUUUAAGAGACGAGAUUUUGUCUUUGCUAGGUCGUUUCUAUAGUAUACCUUCCUUACCAAGAAACAUAGUUCAAAUUGUUUUUGAUCAUAUUUCUGAGUUGUUUAAUACUUUUUUCGAAUUUUCAGAGAACUUAAUAACAAAGUCAAAAACAAAGGAAGAUGUUUCUCACAAAUUCACACAGAUGUUUAAUAAUGUAAAAGAAACAUUUACAUCACUUUGUUCAAAAUACUUACGUUUAAAGUUUUUUGAAAAUUCUCAACUUUACGUAAAACCCGAAGCUUUUAAAAUAGGAGAGCGCUCUACGUUACAACAAAUUAAUACUCCCGAACAGCCGAAUUUAAUUUUUAAAAAGGCAGAAGGUCAAAUCAUCAAUUUGCGAAAAGUUUUAAAACUAUUCCUAGAAUUACCUGGCAUUUUCAAUAAUAUUAUAUCUUUUAUGGAUUCCGAACUAUUCGCCCCACCAGAUUUACUAUCAAGUUUUGUUCAAGGAGAUUUAUGGAAAGCGGUAAAAAAAAUAUUCCCUAAAGAUGUAAUUGUUCUACCUCUCUUGCUCUAUUUCGACGAUUUUGAGUGUUGCAACCCACUAGGCAGCAGAACAGGAGUGUACAUAAUUGGAGCACUAUACGUUUCUUUGGCGUGCAUACCAACAGACUAUAUCUCAUUAUUUGAAAAUAUUUUCUUGGCGCAGUUAUUUUACUCUUCUGAUAGAACUUAUUACGGAAACAAAAAAACUUUUGCUCAUUUGUUGAAAGACCUGGCUUUUUUGGAAACGGAGGGUAUUACAAUUUCCGUUAAUUCUAUGCAACUGAAAAUUUAUUUCACACUUGUAUUAGUUCUGGGAGACAAUCUAGGUGUAAAUUCUUUGCUAGGAUUGCAAGAAAGUUUUUCAUCUAAUUUUUUUUGUCGAAUUUGUAAAACUCCUAAAGAAAUAACGAAAACUCAAAACGCUGAAAAUAUCUUAACACUUCGUACAAAAGAAGCAUAUGAUAAUGAUGUUUCCUCUACUUCUUAGGGAAUCAAAGAAGUUUGCAUAUUCCACCAGCUCCAACAUUUCCACUGCACAAAAAAUAUUUCACUGGACUUAAUGCAUGCAUUAGAAGGUAUUCUGAGAUAUGACAUGGCACAUAUUUUAAAUUACUUAAUUUAUGUAAAAUAAUAUUUUACUUUGGACAAUAUUAACAAGAGAAUUCAACUUUUCAAAUUUUCGGAAGUCGAUUUAGGAAAUCCUAUGCGAGAAAUUAAAGCAGAUCAUAUAAAAAAGAAGCAUAUUGUAAUGAGCGCGUCAGAAAUGUUAUCUUUUUUUACUUAUUUUGGUAUAAUAGUGGGUGAUCUAGUUCCAGAAAAUGACGAAUCCUGGGAGUUGUAUAUAAAUUUGUACCAAAUAUUGCACAUUUUGUUAAGUAUAAGUUAUAUCUAAAAAUACCGUUCAACAUUUGUUUUAUUUAAUUGAAGAGCAUCACACCUUGUAUUGUAACUUAUUUAUGGAUUCUCUCAAGCCUAAACAUCAUAUGUUAUUACAUCAUCCUCCCAGUUUUAUUUUAAAUGUUGGACCACCUAGGUAGGUACGUAUGGUCAAUGAGGUAUGAAGCUCCCCACAAAUGUUAGUCUUCUACACAUGUAGUUAGUUACGUCAAGGAAAAAUAUUCGCUUUUCAUAUAGAAGAAUAAGUAAAAAGGGAUUUGUAAAUGAUAUUGAAUAUGGGCCAUCCUAUGACAUCAGCAGUUUAUUUGAUUAUAACUAUAUAGAUUAUUUGCUUAAGACCAGAUUCGAAAGCACAUUUAUGGAAAAUAAUAGUUGUAGUUUACAUUGGUUAAAAAGCGAUAAUAUAAUGUACAAAUUAGGUUUUGUGCUGCAAAUAUCUGACGAUGAGAUUCCUAAAUCUGGUGUUAUAAAACACAUAAUUAUGAUUGAGAGGACUAUAUGUUUUAUACUUAACCCAUCUGUCGUAAAUUUUAAUUUUCAUAGGCAAACUUACGAAAUUCUAUCAGACUUCGAAAAUACUUUAUCACCUAACAACUGGAUUUUAUUGUUAAAAAAUGAACUUGUUAACAAAAUGCCUUCAAGUGUGCAUUACACCGGCGAUGGCACCAAAGUUAUAAGUUUUAUGCAAUAAGACAGGAAUAUAUUAUUGCAUAAUAUCU